rnacentral:rRNA from 1 species
AGUGAACGCUGGCGGUAGGCCUAACACAUGCAAGUCGAACGGCAGCACAGUAAGAGCUUGCUCUUACGGGUGGCGAGUGGCGGACGGGUGAGGAAUACAUCGAAAUCUACUUUUUCGUGGGGGAUAACGUAGGGAAACUUACGCUAAUACCGCAUACGACCUACGGGUGAAAGCAGGGGAUCUUCGGACCUUGCGCGAUUGAAUGAGCCGAUGUCGGAUUAGCUAGUUGGCGGGGUAAAGGCCCACCAAGGCGACGAUCCGUAGCUGGUCUGAGAGGAUGAUCAGCCACACUGGAACCGAGACACGGUCCAGACUCCUACGGGAGGCAGCAGUGGGGAAUAUUGGACAAUGGGCGCAAGCCUGAUCCAGCCAUACCGCGUGGGUGAAGAAGGCCUUCGGGUUGUAAAGCCCUUUUGUUGGGAAAGAAAAGCAGCAGGUUAAUACCCCGCUGUUCUGACGGUACCCAAAGAAUAAGCACCGGCUAACUUCGUG